UCGGUUUCUCCCUUCUGACGAACCAUGAUGUCAUUUAUUUGGUGUUGUGGGGAAUCAGGACUGUUACUUUGAAAAAAUUAGAGUGUUUAAAGCAGGCUCACGCUUGAAUACAUUAGCAUGGAAUAAUGAAAUAGGACGUUUGAUUCUAUUUUGUUGGUUUCUAGGAUCGACGUAAUGAUUAAUAGGGAUAGUUGGGGGCAUUAGUAUUCAAUUGUCAGAGGUGAAAUUCUUGGAUUUAUUGAAGACUAACUACUGCGAAAGCAUUUGCCAAGGAUGUUUUCAUUAAUCAUGAACGAAAGUUAGGGGAUCGAAGACGAUCAGAUACCGUCGUAGUCUUAACCAUAAACUAUGCCGACUAGGGAUCGGAUGAUGUUAAUUUUUUAAUGACUCAUUCGGCGCCUUACG
rnacentral:rRNA from 1 species